rnacentral:rRNA from 1 species
UACGAAGGGGGCUAGCGUUGUUCGGAUUUACUGGGCGUAAAGCGCACGUAGGCGGUUUGUUAAGUCAGGGGUGAAAUCCCGGAGCUCAACUCCGGAACUGCCUUUGAUACUGGCAAGCUAGAGUCCGGAAGAGGUAAGUGGAACUCCUAGUGUAGAGGUGAAAUUCGUAGAUAUUAGGAAGAACACCAGUGGCGAAGGCGGCUCACUGGUCCGGGUACUGACGCUGAGGUGCGAAAGCGUGGGGGAGCAAACAGG